AGUUUCUCUGGGAAAGCUAUCGGCCAAAUUUAACUGUCCGAGCUGCCCUCAGAAAAACUCU
rfam:Caenorhabditis elegans chromosome II